AUUGAACGCUGGCGGCAUGCUUUACACAUGCAAGUCGAACGGCAGCGCGGGCUUCGGCCUGGCGGCGAGUGGCGAACGGGUGAGUAAUACAUCGGAACGUGCCCAGUAGUGGGGGAUAGCUCGGCGAAAGCCGGAUUAAUACCGCAUACGACCUGAGGGUGAAAGCGGGGGAUCUUCGGACCUCGCGCUAUUGGAGCGGCCGAUGGCAGAUUAGCUAGUUGGUGGGGUAAAGGCCUACCAAGGCGACGAUCUGUAGCUGGUCUGAGAGGACGACCAGCCACACUGGGACUGAGGCACGGCCCAGACUCCUACGGGAGGCAGCAGUGGGGAAUUUUGGACAAUGGGCGAAAGCCUGAUCCAGCAAUGCCGCGUGUGUGAUGAAGGCCUUCGGGUUGUAAAGCACUUUUGGCGGGAACGAAAAGGACUGUGCCAAUACCACGGUUCGAUGACGGUACCCGCAGAAUAAGCACCGGCUAACUACGUG
rnacentral:rRNA from 1 species